rnacentral:rRNA from 1 species
GAGGAGUGGCGAACGGGUGAGUAACACGUGGGUAACCUGCCCAUCAGAAGGGGAUAACACUUGGAAACAGGUGCUAAUACCGUAUAACAAUCAAAACCGCAUGGUUUUGAUUUGAAAGGCGCUUUCGGGUGUCGCUGAUGGAUGGACCCGCGGUGCAUUAGCUAGUUGGUGAGGUAACGGCUCACCAAGGCCACGAUGCAUAGCCGACCUGAGAGGGUGAUCGGCCACAUUGGGACUGAGACACGGCCCAAACUCCUACGGGAGGCAGCAGUAGGGAAUCUUCGGCAAUGGACGAAAGUCUGACCGAGCAACGCCGCGUGAGUGAAGAAGGUUUUCGGAUCGUAAAACUCUGUUGUUAGAGAAGAACACGGAUGAGAGUAACUGUUCAUCCCUUGACGGUAUCUAACCAGAAAGCCACGGCUAACUACGUGCCAGCAGCCGCGGUAAUACGUAGGUGGCAAGCGUUGUCCGGAUUUAUUGGGCGUAAAGCGAGCGCAGGCGGUUUCUUAAGUCUGAUGUGAAAGCCCCCGGCUCAACCGGGGAGGGUCAUUGGAAACUGGGAGACUUGAGUGCAGAAGAGGAGAGUGGAAUUCCAUGUGUAGCGGUGAAAUGCGUAGAUAUAUGGAGGAACAC